rnacentral:rRNA from 1 species
AGCUCCACUAGCGUAUGUUAAAAUUGUUGCGGUUAAAACGUUCGAAGUUGAUUAUUGUCCAGUACGGGUGUAGUAUCAUCAAAUGUGUGAUUGCUAUCACUUUUUCGUUUACUUGGACUAUAUGACUGAACACUAAAUGAAUAGCAUUGAUGCCUUUCAUUAGGCUAAAUGUCUAUUUAGUUCGGCUUACUUUUACCUUGAACAAAUUAAAGUGCUCAAAGCAGGCUCGAUAUGCUUGAAUAGUUUUGCAUGGAAUAAUGGAAAAAGACCUCGGUCUUGUUCGUUAUAUGAAAGUAUAAUGAUUUUCUAUUGGUUUGAUACAGAUCAAGAGGUAAUGAUUAAUAGAAGCAGUCGGGGGCAUUAGUAUUACGGCGCGAGAGGUGAAAUUCUUAGACCGUCGUACGACUAACUAAAGCGAAAGCAUUUGCCAAGGAUGUUUUCA